CUGCUUGGUUAACUUCUUUCUGGUUGCAUUGAGAAUUUGGAAUAGUCAUGUAAUCUAAUGAUUUUGAUCCUAAUAAUAGCUCCUUUUCGUUUUUUUUUUAAUUUGGGGUUCUUUUUAUGAGAAACUAUUUGCAUGUUUGCUUCUUUAGAUUAUGUUACUGUUCUUUGGAUGAUCAAAAUUCCUACAUCAAGAAGUUUACUCAAUCCCAAGCUGUUUUCUUGGAAGCUACGCUUGUGAUGUUGCUUUCUUGGCUUGUUUUUUGCUUCUUUUUGAGGUUUAUGAAGCUUGGUGAUGGAAGAAAUGUUUGGUUUAAGAUUAGGUGGUGGAUUAGUCGUUUGAAUGUUUGCUUUGCUACUAGGCAUUGGCUGGAUGAUCAAAAAUUGGUUGUGAAACGGAAAACAGAACUCGGUGGAACUUUCUCGAUUGCUAGUUGGAUACUUUUCACUGGGCUGUUUGCUGUGUUGCUUUACCAACUCAUCGCAAAGAGAACCAUUGAAGUACAUAACGUGAAAGCGACAAAUGCGCCUGACCUAGCUUCCUUCAGGAAUGACGUUGAAUUUAACAUGACCGCUGUUUCUAGUAUGAGUUGCUCGAAUUUACGGAGUCCUACUACUUUACUUUCCGGAAGUUCCAGUUUCCUUGAAGACAAAUUUCUCCCUAUUUCGGAUAUUCUCAAUGUUUCAUGUCAUAACACAAGUUUAGGGCCAACUAUAACUCUCAAGUGCAGCAAUUGUCGACUCAAUCAAGAUUUUAUGUCCAUUUCAUGGCAAUUUUUCGAUCUUCCGAACAGCCCUGCAAGUGCUGUAGGUUUUCAGUUCAAUGUAACUGCAAAAGAUCAUAUUAGGAGGGAUCAUGUGAGUUUCGUUAGUGGAACAUUGAUGAAUGGAAGCAACUUUGAUAAUAGCCCGGUUACAUUCAGAGGGACAGACACAAACAUAUUGAUAUUCAAUUUGUUUCCCCGUAUAUACCGCAGUGCAAAAAAUCUGAGGCUAAUUCAACCUCUCUUUCAUGAAUUCGUCCCAGGGUCAUCUUUGCGUAACACUUCUCAGCUCCGAGCCUCACUUGAGAAUGCUAAUGAUGGAGUAAUCAACACUACGUUAUACGUCAACUAUCUUUCUUCCUACAUCAUUGAGACCGAAAAUCAAAAUAUAAUAGGUGCUGUGGGUUUCCUUGCCGAUCUUGGUGGGUUAUAUUGCAUUACUAUGGGGAUAUUUUUCUAUCUCUUGGUGCAAGUAGCUCAAAUUUGUGUUUAAUGGGUGUUGAGGUUGUUGACUCAGACCUGGCACAAUUGUCUAUUGACAAAGUGACUGAAGUAGACAAAUCAUUUCUUCAUGAAAAUGGGAAACUAGAUAAGGAUCCAGUUUAUAAUAACCCCAUUGAAGUUGAUUCACAUAGUGAGGAACCAGAUAAGGAAGAAGAGAAUGGUGCAUUUGAUCCCCACUUUCCGAAGGAUGUGGUCAACGAGUGGCCUGCACCUAAGCAGAUCCACUCUUUUCAUUUUAUUAGAAAAGGCAAAGAUUGAAGCUCAAAUCUUAGCUGCUGAAGCAGCAGCAAAAAUGGGCAGAGGUUGAGCUGAAAAAGCAACGGGAAAGAGAAGAGAAGCUGCUGGAAUUACAUUACAAAAGGCUAAGAAGUUAGCAUCACAAUAUCAAAAGGAAGCGGACAAAUGUAAUUCGGUAUGGACACGCAUGAAGAAGGAGAAAGUGAAGAAGCACUAUUGCCUCAAAUGAAAUUAACAGCAAUUUGGGAAAUAAGAGCUCGUCGAGAAAGGGUGGAGAGAAAAGGUCGCCAAAUCUAAUGCAUUUCCUUAUUUCAUUUAAGUAACUUUAUUAUAAUGUCUUAUUUUAUUCAUAUUUUUAUAUUUAAUCUAGUUUUAUUAUUUAUUUUAGUUUUGAUUCUAAAUUUUAUUUUUAUUUUAAUAUUUAAGAUAACUUGAGUU